GUAUAGCUCAGUUGGUAGAGCAUGAGACUCUUAAUCUCAGCGCCAUGGGUUGAAAACCUAUGUUGGGCA